rnacentral:tRNA from 3 species
GGAGAGGUGCCAGAGUGGUAAUGGAGCAGUUUGCUAAACUGUCAUCGAGUGAUCGGUGCCAGGGUUCGAGUCCCUGUCUCUCCGCGA